UACAGAGGGGGCAAGCGUUGUUCGGAAUUACUGGGCGUAAAGGGCGCGUAGGCGGCCUGCUAAGUCGAACGUGAAAUCCCUGGGCUCAACCCAGGAACUGCGUCCGAUACUGGUUGGCUUGAAUCCGGGAGAGGGAUGCGGAAUUCCGAGUGUGAGCGGUGAAAUGCGUAGAUAUCUGGAGGAACACCGGUGGCGAAGGCGGCAUCCUGGACCGGCAUUGACGCUGAGGCGCGAAAGCCAGGGGAGCAAACGGG
rnacentral:rRNA from 1 species